rnacentral:rRNA from 1 species
CCUACGGGUGACUGCAGUGAGGAAUAUUGGUCAAUGGGCGCGAGCCUGAACCAGCCAAGCCGCGUGAGGGAAGACGGUCCUAUGGAUUGUAAACCUCUUUUGUCGGGGAGAAAAAGACGCCACGCGUGGCGUUCCGAGAGUACCCGAAGAAAAAGCAUCGGCAAACUCCGUGCCAGCAGCCGCGGUAAUACGGAGGAUGCGAGCGUUAUCCGGAUUUAUGGGGUUUAAAGGGUGCGCAGGCGGAAGAUCAAGUCAGCGGUAAAAUUGAGAGGCUCAAACACUUCGUGCCGUUGAAACUGGUUUUCUUGAGUGAGUGAGAGGUAUGCGGAAUGCGUGGUGUAGCGGUGAAAUGCAUAGAUAUCACGCAGAACUCCGAUUGCGAAGGCAGCAUGCCGGCGCUCAACUGACGCUCAUGCACGAAAGUGUGGGUAUCGAACAGGAUUAGAUACCCGUGUAGUC